CUAAUACCGGAUAACACUCUGUCCCGCAUGGGACGGGGUUGAAAGCUCCGGCGGUGAAGGAUGAGCCCGCGGCCUAUCAGCUUGUUGGUGGGGUAAUGGCCUACCAAGGCGACGACGGGUAGCCGGCCUGAGAGGGCGACCGGCCACACUGGGACUGAGACACGGCCCAGACUCCUACGGGAGGCAGCAGUGGGGAAUAUUGCACAAUGGGCGAAAGCCUGAUGCAGCGACGCCGCGUGAGGGAUGACGGCCUUCGGGUUGUAAACCUCUUUCAGCAGGGAAGAAGCGAAAGUGACGGUACCUGCAGAAGAAGCGCCGGCUAACUACGUGCCAGCAGCCGCGGUAAUACGUAGGGCGCAAGCGUUGUCCGGAAUUAUUGGGCGUAAAGAGCUCGUAGGCGGCUUGUCACGUCGGAUGUGAAAGCCCGGGGCUUAACCCCGGGUCUGCAUUCGAUACGGGCUAGCUAGAGUGUGGUAGGGGAGAUCGGAAUUCCUGGUG
rnacentral:rRNA from 1 species